GCCCCUAUAGCUCAAUGGAUAGAGUAUCGGCCUCCGAAGCCGCUGGUCGCAGUUCGAAUCUGCGUAGGGGCA
rnacentral:tRNA from 1 species